rnacentral:rRNA from 1 species
GCUAUCUCGGUGACUGUGGCGGUGGGAAUACGGGUGAUACAGGCGUUAUCCGGAAUCAUUGGGUUUAAAGGUUCCGUAGGCGGCCGUAUAAGUCAGUGGUGAAAUCGCACGGCUCAACCGUGAAAGGGCCAUUGAUACUGUAGGGCUUGAAUUAUUGGGAAGUAACUAGAAUAUGGAGUGUAGCGGUGAAAUGCUUAGAUAUUACAUGGAAUACCGAUUGCGAAGGCAGGUUACUACCAAUGGAUUGACGCUGAUGGACGAAAGCGUGGGUAGCGAACAGGAUUAGAUACCCGAGUAGUC